rnacentral:rRNA from 1 species
UACAGAGGUGGCAAGCGUUGUUCGGAAUUACUGGGCGUAAAGGGCGCGUAGGCGGUUCGAUAAGUCCCGUGUGAAAGCCCCCGGCUCAACUGGGGAACUGCACGGGAAACUGACGGACUUGAGUUUGGGAGAGGGAUGCGGAAUUCCAGGUGUAGCGGUGAAAUGCGUAGAUAUCUGGAGGAACACCGGUGGCGAAGGCGGCAUCCUGGACCAACACUGACGCUGAGUGAGCGAAAGCCAGGGGAGCAAACGGG